CUUAACUGACAUGUUUGUUUUUCUACCAACAAAAUUACUCACGUGUCACUAGAUCAAACAUAAAUAGACUAUAUAUCAUAUUCUGAUUAAUGAUCUAAAUAUUUGAUUUGGCUCACAAAGAUUAAGACUGGGAUGUUGCAUACUUUCAUGUAUGUUAAUCUAAAAUCUUACGUUCAUUUCUUAAUGUAGAGAUCCAAGAUAAAAGAGCAAUUUCUAUGCAUGCAUAAUCCAAUUCGUUUGAAGAAAAAUUAGUGGAUAUGGGAAUUUUGUCAAAGAGACUUAAAAUAGACGAAAAUAAAUGCAGUGAAGAGUCAUUUUCGUUGAGGAGAGACUUGCCUAACUAUUCAAAAGCAGCAUUAUGAGACUCGAUAGCUACUUUUCUGUUGCCUUUUGUAGCUACUACAUUGAUAUAAUGGCUGACUCUGUUUUCCUCGACAUGUUAGAAUCACUCAUCAAAGGAUUAGUGAUAUUUUUUGAUUUAAGAUGAGGUCAUGCUUAUCUCAUAUGAACACUUAAUUUGCAAUCAAAACGCUUAUCUAAGAGAAAAAAAUAAUAAGCCUGACAGGCUUACUCUAAUGCAAUAUGGUCAAAUGAUAACUAACUUGUCAAGGUGCUUAGAUUCAAAAUUAUAAAUUUACUUCAGUAAACGUUUUCUAACUUCAAUACAUACUCAUCUGAAUGUUGAAGAUUUUUCUAAAAUCUGUAAAAUUAAAUUGGUUAAUUAUUGAGCUCUUAUAAAUAAAAAGAAAACAGAAUGUCAUUGACUGACUACUCAAGGAUUCAAAAAGGUAAUAUAGAAAACGGUCAAUUACCCUAUUUAAACUGAUCAAUCAGUGUCAUUAUUUAUGUUUUAACCAUUAAGAAGGAAAAUAUCUUAUCUUAAUUAGCGCUUUUUAAUUCCGUUUAAUUUUGUUGGGUAAAAAAAUUCCAUUUAAUUUUAAAAAUGGAAUUUAAAAGGGAAAUGAUUAAUUACGGGAAUUAAAAAUAAAUGCGAUGACCUAUCACAUUGCUACAAAUACAAUUCACAAUGUGAUCAAAGUGAAUUCUGUUAUUCUUAAAAAAAAACUUUCUGAAUCGUCACAUCACAGGUUACAAGAAAGAGAGUACUUUUUGGUUCUUCAAGUUCCAUAUUGAGAUGGGACGAGCAACGAGAUGGUUUAAGAGAUUGUUUAGCACCAAGAAGAGCCUUGAUUCGGAUUCAGAGAAAGAACAGAACAAACAAGCAAUUGCUGUUGCUACCACAACAGCUACAACUGCAGAAGCAGCGGUUUCGGCAGCUAAAGCGGCCGAGUCAGUGGUUACAGGAGAUAUCAUCACGAGGGACGAGCGUUGGGCCGCUAUGAAAAUUCAAAAAGUCUUCAGGGGCUCUCUGGCGAGGAAAGCGUUACGUGCACUGAAAGGUAUAGUAAAGCUACAAGCUCUAGUGAGAGGAUACUUGGUUAGGAAACGCGCUGCUGUGAUGCUGCAUAACAUGCAAACUUUGGUUAGAGUCCAAACCGUUAUGCGGUCUAAACGCAAUCGCCGUCUCAACAAAGAGUACAACGACAUGUUUCAACCACGACAUUCCCUUGUAAUUAAUGAACCAAUGUUAUCAAUUAUGUUGCUUCUUGUUCUUUAAGCUAAAAGCAAGACUGAAGUGUUAGCGGCCGGCGACGCAUUGAAGAGGAGAUCUAAGUCUAGAAAAAAGCACGAUGUUGCUUCAAUGUCUGAACAUAAAGACGGCUUUGUUUACCAAAGGAAUGAUUUGGAGUUGAAUCUACCCAAGGAGAAGUGGAAGUUUGCGAGGACGCCUAGAUUAUCAUCUUCAUUGCACAGCCACUCGGCUAAUAAUCGUUAUUAUGUUAUGCAGUCUCCUGGUAAGAGUGUUUGUGGAAACGCUACGUGUGAGUAUGGAAUGAGUACUCCUGGCUACAUGGAGAAAACGCAGUCGUUUAAGGCGAAGGUGCGUUCGCAUAGCGCACCGCAUCAGCGAUCUGAGAGGAUGCGGUUGUCGCUAGAUGAGGUUAUAGCGUCAAGGAGUAGCGUUAGCGGCGAGAGUUUGCAGCAGCAGCCGCGCUAUUCUUGUUCCUAAUCCGCUCUGAUUUUUUAUUAUUGUUAUUUUGGCUUUUCCUGAUUUUUAAAACGCUUUCUUCUACCAUGAAUUAUAAAAAAAAAAACCUUUUUUACUAUUCUAUUACAGUGAUUCUAAAUAGUACGUCAACACCUCUACAAUCGAUAAUUUAACAUGAUAUAAUCCAUGUGUAAAAGUUCUAUUUGUACUACAAAUCCUCUCUCGAUCCCGGUUCUACUUGCCCAAGGACACCUUAUAUUAACAAUACCCUCUCCACGUACGAUCAGUCUCAACCGUGGAUGCAUUAGUCUACUCAAUAUCCUCUGGCCAUAUCAAGUCUCGAAGUCUAGAAAAUAAUCCAUCUCUGUAGUAUAUAGCUGUUCUCGCCGUCGAAGUCAAUUUCUCAGAGAUAUCGUUUUUGUUUUUGAUAACUUCAAUGGUAUCGUUUUAUAAUUCUGAUUCAACUUAACAGUCUGAUGGUUUAACUGGAUCCUACUCAAAUGACAUCUAUUCCAAGUUAGAUAAAAGAAACAAUCAGGUUCAGAAUCAAGACACAUGAGGAUAAGAUACAAAAAUGUAUAAUGACACUGAACCAGACCCAUUUGGGCAGGUCGUAACAGCACAAAAUGGUAUCACAGAACCAGUUUUACCACUGAGGUUUUGUGGAUGUAGUAAAAAAUAUGUAUUGGAAUACAAAAAUCAAUUUAAUAAAAAUAGUUAAAAAUGGUUGGGUCUUCUUCAUCCUGAUCUUUAUUUUACAAGUCUCAAAACAUUUUUGAUUUUUCUAGCAAAUGUUUGCUGCUUCAACAAAACUUGCUGCUUACGGUGUCGUAGCUAGGAACAGACAAACACUGCCAAACAAAAGAACCAGACACAAUAUUAAGGACACACAAGAUCACUGCCUCUUUUUUAUACCUCUAUAAGUGAAAAACAAUAUAUUAAAUGUAUUAAGGAAAAGAGACAGAUGUUCUCCGAAGCAACCCAUUUUCAAAGGCUUUGAAAUCAUCUUGCUGGUGAAUUCUGUAAUUUCAACUGAAGUUCGUCUACUGCCUUCAAGAACUGCUCAACUGGUUUCCUGCAAUAACUUUUUUUUGUAAUAUAAAAACACUUUCAUGAGAAAUCAGCCCUCGCCUCUCCCCAACGAUGAUGCAGCGCUGGAUUGAUUUAGAUCCUUUCUCCCACCUCUGAUCGAGAUUCAUCAUCUCGCAUCGUUUCCACCAUCUCCUCCUUUCUCAAUCCUUCCAUCCGUAGGUUGGUUUUCUUUGACGGUAACUACAAAGUUCUAUGUCAGAUUCUGGGCCUAGCCCACACUUUUUGGAAUGGUUUAUGUAAUUGGCCUUGCUCUAACACUGUCUCAAAUGGGCCUAUAUCUUUUAUUUAUUUAUUUAUUCUAUGCAAUGAAAACCAGUUUACAAAAAAAAAACACUUUCAUGACCAAGAAGAAAAAAACUAUUGAGAUUAAAGUGAAAUCUUAAGAUGUAUAACAUUAAUUUGAAUAUAAUUAAACCAAUAACAUUUAACCCAAGAUUUUUGACUUUCCAAAUAACCAAUUACAGAAAUAAGGGAAUAGAUGAUAUUGGUUUCAAUAUGAAAAAAUAAUACAUAACAUCUACAAAUAAUAUAGAACAUAAGGUUCAUUUCAUUACAUACGCGAUUUAAUAAAAUUGCGAAGCAAAUUUCAAAUAAUAUGAACAUGAUAACAAAUUGAUCGACAAAUAGUAUAGUCAUUGAUAGACAAAUGGUAUAUAAAUUAAUAAUUUGAAACAAUAUUAUGAUGGAAGGAAAGUAUUUUAUUAUCAGUAAACAAAUCGUAUUAAUUGUAUUUGUAAUUCUUGUCCAACGUUUGAACGAAUCAAAAAUUUCAUAUUACAAAAAAUCAUACAAAAUGAAGAGAAUCGAAUAUGAAAGCAUAACAGAUUGUUCUAUUCACGAAUAUAGUAUAUUAACCUUAUAUAAAUAGCUACACUAAAAAAUUAUACAAUGCUAUUAUUUCUUUUCACUGAAUAUAGUAUAAUUGGCGAGUUCAUCUUCUUCAUUUCUUCCUAUUUUCAAGACAUGACACCACAUAUUCACCAUCCAACCGUCAUUAAAUAUUAAAUUUAUAUAUUAUGAUCCCUGUCAAAAAUAUUUCUGGCUCAGCGAGUGGUUACAUCGACUUCUACCAAGAUGAGAGAAGUUGAACUCUUGGCUUACAUCAAAAAUACCAAAAAGAGUUAUGAUAAUAUGGUUACAAGGCUGCGAUGGGAAGCAAUAUGGUGAGAGAGCAGCUUUUAAAAAAUAUGUUGGUCCCUUGAAAACUGGGUUAUCACUUCAAACUGGAGAUAUUUCUAUUAGUGUAGGCAAUUCUGAUUCAGUAAGGGCUCUCUAUGACAACAGUGCACCAGUUUUUGUGAGAAUAAAAUUGUUUUUUUUUUCAGAGUAAAUUGUUGUUCAUUACUUCUCGUGGGAAGAUGUUUAUGGACAAUGUGAAUUUGAUUUAUGUUAUCUCUUUAGACCAGGAAACAAGAUUAAGUUCUUGGUUCCUGAUUCCGGCUUGUUCUAGGUUGCAGGGAUUGUCACAUGGCCGAGAAGAGAUAGGGGAAGAAAAUUGUUGCCUUAGAGCCAUACGCUCUUGAACAAGGCUUUGCUUCUAUCUCAUCCUCUCCCCAGAAAAGGCAGGAGAUAUAAAGUUCCUUUGUCUCAUCGCUCUUUGGUGUUAGAAAGUAUGUGAGCAAUUGGUUCCUUUCUUGUGUGUUUGGUUGUAUGAAGAAAGCAUUCUUAUCCACUCUAAUAUAUAUUUGCAACGUGAGGUUUGGUUACA